GUCCCUGUAGCGCAAUGAAUAGCGCGUUGGACUUCUAAUCCAAGUAUCGUGGUCUGGAAGCCCACCUGGUAUG